rnacentral:rRNA from 1 species
ACGAGGAGCUUGCUCCUCUAACGUUAGCGGCGGACGGGUGAGUAACACGUGGAUAACCUACCUAUAAGACUGGGAUAACUUCGGGAAACCGGAGCUAAUACCGGAUAAUAUAUUGAACCGCGUGGUUCAAUAGUGAAAGACGGUUUUGCUGUCACUUAUAGAUGGAUCCGCGCCGCAUUAGCUAGUUGGUAAGGUAACAGCUUACCAAGGCAACGAUGCGUAGCCGACCUGAGAGGGUGAUCGGCCACACUGGAACUGAGACACGGUCCAGACUCCUACGGGAGGCAGCAGUAGGGAAUCUUCCGCAAUGGGCGAAAGCCUGACGGAGCAACGCCGCGUGAGUGAUGAAGGUCUUCGGAUCGUAAAACUCUGUUAUUAGGGAAGAACAAAUGUGUAAGUAACUAUGCACGUCUUGACGGUACCUAAUCAGAAAGCCACGGCUAACUACGUGCCAGCAGCCGCGGUAAUACGUAGGUGGCAAGCGUUAUCCGGAAUUAUUGGGCGUAAAGCGCGCGUAGGCGGUUUUUUAAGUCUGAUGUGAAAGCCCACGGCUCAACCGUGGAGGGUCAUUGGAAACUGGAAAACUUGAGUGCAGAAGAGGAAAGUGGAAUUCCAUGUGUAGCGGUGAAAUGCGCAGAGAUAUGGAGGAACACCAGUGGCGAAGGCGACUUUCUGGUCUGUAACUGACGCUGAUGUGCGAAAGCGUGGGGAUCAAACAGGAUUAGAUACCCUGGUAGUCCACGCCGUAAACGAUGAGUGCUAAGUGUUAGGGGGUUUCCGCCCCUUAGUGCUGCAGCUAACGCAUUAAGCACUCCGCCUGGGGAGUACGACCGCAAGGUUG